UAUUUUUGUUUCGUUUUGACAAGAGCAACAUGCGACACAUGUGCAAUUGGCAUGUUGUCAAAAAAUUUUCAAGUGGGCUGUCAAAUUCUGAAUAAUGUUGCGAGAAAUUUGCCUGUUUUUCACUUCAGUAAGAAAGUAUUACAAAACGGCAAGUCUAUCGAGUGGUCUGAAAAUAAAACUCGUUUAAUCUCCGAGCAACACCAAAAGAAGCUUGAACAAUGUCCUUCGUCGUUCGUACAAGUCUGCUGUAAAAAGUUAUUUUCCAAAUCAAAGCCUAAUUGCAAAACAAUUACAGCCAGUGACGAUUAUUUAAAGGCACGACAAUCUCUAAAGCUUCAUAUUAAGGAUCUGAUAAAAUUCGUGGAGAAUGAAUCGCAAAUAAUUACGAACGACAUAAAGAAUCGUUUGGAUAGCAACAGAGCCGUUUGUGCGACUCAAUUAGAGAAUCUCUUUAAGAAGACGACGGAAAAACUGGACGAACUGAUGAAAUUAGACGUUUCUUACGGCAGCUGGAUGCGACAGAAGACGUUGCUGCUCAAUGACGAGAUAAAACGAUCUUUUGACGCUCUGGAACGAGUGAUCGGUCCAAACGAGAAGCGUAUAGCGUCUAUGUUAAAGAAAUUGCGAAGUGACGUGUCGAUCUGCAUUGAGAGCGCGGAGAGAAAUCUCUCCGUGUGUCGCAAACAUUAUCUUCCUUUCGAUCUCACGAAAUGCACGAAGGAACAGUCGGACGAAGCGACGAAAAUGCUCGGUCGGAUGAAGGAGGAAACACGUCGUAAGUUCGAAGAGAUCGCCAAGUUUCGCGAGACAGUUCUGAGAGCACAUGAGAUGACGACGCAGGAAGCGAUAGAGAUAAACCAUAAAAAAACAAUGGAUUUAUUGAAGUACCUGGAGAAAUGUAUCGUCAAGCUGAAGAGUUCGAACAAGUAGCGCAAAAAACAUGGAACUGAGAAAUAGGCAAUCUUAAAAUUGCGAACAAUUCGGAGAAGUCAGCCUCAAAAUUCUGUUUCAAACUUCAGAAAUAAAUGCGUAACAGAGCCGUUUAUCUUCGCGCGCCUUUGUGAUUGGAUACACGCACAUAAUGUUUCUUUUAAAUGAAGAUUUAUGGCACAAAAGUGUAAAAGACUUGACGAGAAUCAGUCGUAAACCUACUGGACGUUGAAACGAGAUUCUAAAAUUACGCGUUUUCUGGGAAGCUUCACUAAAUUCUCACCAUCGUUCAUGAACGAUUGCGCCGCGACCAC